UCAAAAAUAAAUUUGAUGACUCUAUUCGAACCAAUAUACUUGCUUGUUUCCGGUUCAACCCGUCCCUGGUCGGUUUGUUCCGGUUUCUACAGUAGAGGACGUUGGUGUUUCUACAUUAGGUUACGACCUUUUUCUCCUUUACUUAUUGGCUUUCUACCGGGAAAAGGAAACUGCAGCUCUCUCUUCUCUCUCGAUUUGCGACCAUUUCUUCUUCUCCCUUUUUCUUUCACGCGUAACUUGCGUCUUCGUCUUACGUAUAAUCCAAUUUCCAACUGUUCAAGAGGCCAGGUUGUAAAGAGGAAAUGGAUGCCCAAGGGAGGAACAAGGCGUUGUUUCGCGCCAAAUUGAAUGCACAAAAGAAGGAGAAGCGCAUAGAUUCUCCCCUUAUCAGUUACAAUGAAUCUGACCAACCUGUCUGCCGGGUUUGUGAUGUUGUUUUGAAAUCUGUAUCCCAUUGGGAUGCACACCAAGCUUCUCGUAAACAUCAUGAGGCAAUUAAUACCUUGAAAGCUAAUGCUGCUAGGCGUACUCAAGCUAGCAAUACGCAAUCUGGUCUGCCUCCAAGGUUUUUUGAUAAUCAUGGGACGGAGAAGCAAACAACUGAGAUUGAAAAGUUGCCAGAUCCUAGUUCAAACAAAAAGCCUGGAAUUUCAGCACAAACUCAUGCAAAGGAGUGUCUAUAUUCAGAGACCGAAGAGGAUGGUUGUCCUCAAAGCAGUGCCAGUCAAACAAAGAUGACUCAGCCUCCUGAGUCAAGACAGGUCACACAGUUAGCAACCAAGAAAGUGAAAGGAUCUCUUCCUGAUAACUUCUUUGAUAGGGAUGAAACCAAGUUACCUACGAAUCUUAUGAAGCCUCCAAGGGAGAAUAAACUGGCAGUGAAGCAGGCUAGUGCUCCAGAAACCAAAACAAAGCACGUUAAAGGAUCUCUUCCUGAUGACUUCUUUGAUAAGGAUGAUGCCAAGUUACCUAUGAAUGCCAUGAAGCCUCCUAGGGAGAAUAUACAGGCUUCAGAGCAGGCUAGUGCUCCAGAAACCAAGCAAGUAAAGGGAGCUCUCCCUGAAGGAUUCUUUGACAAUAAGGAAGCUGAUUUACGUGCUCGUGGCAUUAAGCCUGUUAAGAUAGAUGUCAAAGAUGAGUACAAGGAAUUUGAAAAGUUGAUUCAAGAAGAUCUGCAAGAGGUGGACAAUCGUAUGGAAGAAGAGGAGAUUGAUGCAGCUGAAAUGAUUGAAGAGGCUGAAUCUUUGGAGCAAAAGGUUUACAAGCAGAAAGUGGAAACAUUGUGGAAGAGGAAACUGGAAUUGGAGACCUCUAGAUCAAAUAAGCGUCAGAGGGGGAAGGAAACUGAUAGACAGGAAUCUAACAGUGAAGAGUCAACUAGUGACAGUGAGAGUGACAGUGAUGAGAACUUUGCAGUUGAUUGGAGAGCUCAACACCUAUGAAAUCUACUGCAAGUACGGAGUUUGUCCUCCUUGCAACUGUGCAUUUUAAUGAGAAGUCUCUUACUAAAAAGGAAAAGUAAUAAAAAGGGAAAAAAUUGGAACGCUGUUUCAAGUUCUAAAAAUUUGGUUUUAGACAUCUGAAAGAAAUCUGCCACAAACUAUAUUAAGAGUGAGAUGAAGAGCCAAGAUCCAAAUACACACUAUCCAGGUUUAUAUGAUGCAAAACAAUUGAACCUUGGUCUAUUCAGCUGAAUUAUAACCUUUCACAGGAGUGAUGCAUACAAGAUGGCUGAUUAGGUUGUGAAAAGUUAUUAUCGACUUUGUUCACUUGUGAUCUUGGUUUACAGGUUCAUAGGUUGGAGAAUUUGUAUUGUGAAACACGGUUUUGUGAGGAGUAUUGUAAUUUUGUCGCAGGCUUUAUUAAUAUAGAUGUAAUGUAAUUCAGCUGAUUCAAAUUUGAA